GAUAUACACAGAGAACCACGUGGAGGAAAAGCACGCGAGUUUGGAGCGGGUGGAGCAGGAACAGAGGUGGACUGGAAUGUCACACGACGGGGCAGCUGGAAGGGCACCACUGAGUUCAGUACUUCAAAAUUGCCGUGCUCUACCUCUCCCCAGUGCACAAAAACACUCUCCACACCAAGCUGCUGCUGCUGGGGGAUGGAGGGAUGGCGUCAGCGAUUCAAGACUGUUUUUCCUACCUGUUCAGCACUUCUUUCAGCGAUAUGAAGUUAAAUCCAGAUGUCGUCAUCAUCCACUUGUUCAAACAAGAGCCCAAGGAUCAUCCUAGAUUCCUUCUCACUUCCUCUCAAUCCAUCCCUGAAACAGCCAAACCACCAAGCAGCAAGAGGGAUCUUAUAAAAAUAUGACCAGAUCACAUCCUUCAACACUUCCCUGUUACCCUUACAAUAAAAUUCAAACUCUUCACCAUGACCUCCAAGGCUCCUAUUGAAUCCGGCUCUUGUCUGCCUCUUCAGUAACAUCAUGGACCACUCCUUACCAUUCCCUCCAUCUGGCUGUGCUUCCUGCAGCUCUUCCAAUGGCUGGCUUGUUCUCACCUUUGAAGUCUCAGCUCAAAGGACACUCCCUUGGGCUCUCCCUCAUCACCCUAACUAAUAGGUCACUUAAUAUUGUUAUUAUUUUUUAGAGACAAAGUCUCACUAUGUCACCCAGGCUUGCCUCAAACUCCUGGGCUCAAGCAAUUCUCCCACCUUGGCCUCUCAAAGUUCUAGGAUUACAGGCGUGAGCCACUAUGCCUGGCUAUGUCACUUAUUAUUCUUUAUUAUCUUCUAUAUAUAAAUGAUCCCAAUCUAUAAUUAUUUGAUUUAUUGAUUGGUUUACUUGCUUAAUAUCCAACUCCCAUACUAGAAUAUAAAUGUUAUAGAACAAGAGAUUGUCUGUACCAUCCACUGUUCUAGUCUCAUUACCCCACAUAAGGCCUGGCAUGGAGUGUGCACCUAAUAAAUGUUUGAAUAAA
rnacentral:lncRNA from 1 species